GCGACCGAUUCAAAAAUGCCGGACAUGCAGGCGGGAUGGGAGCAGAUGUGUUCCAACGUGAUGGGCGGUCUUGCGGGUCUCAACAUGGUUUACGAGGCGG
rfam:Planktotalea frisia strain SH6-1 PFRI_contig000099, whole genome shotgun sequence.